AAAGAGAGAAAGGGAUAGAAGAGAGUCAAUGUCACACCCCAAUAAUCCCACAUCGGAUAGAAAUGGAGAUGUGAUUAAGUAUAUAAGAGACUUAGACACUAGUAAUAAUAACUGGGCUUAAGCAUUUUGGGCAGGUGGUUGGGCCCUACGAGUUAUUAUUGCUAGUGGGCUGGGUCGUUACAUUUGGUAUCAGAGUCAAUCACCAGCCGAAAAUUUAUGGCAAGUCUCGGCUGAGCCAGGGUCUGAAAGACAAGGUGAUAGGCUAUGCCGCAGUCUGUAUGAUAAGGUGACCGGCUAUGGUAGGGUCUGAAUGACAAGACUAGUGAGACGAGUCUCACAUCUGUUUGAAGUAAAAUAAUACUUAUCAUACAUAUAUAUAAGUUGAAACAAUCCUAAACCUAAUAAAAAAAAAGUGAUUAGAUUUGAGUUCAUACAAUCCUAAUAGGUCUCGUAUUAAUCAUUAAUUUUUUUCGGGUCAAUAAUUAUAAUAUACAAUAAGCCCAUUUAAAAAUGUGAGUGGGCGGGCCCUUACGAAAGCCCAAACAAAUAAAUAAAAAAAAUAUGAGUGGGCGGGCCCUUACGAAAGCCCAAACAAAUAAAUAAAAAAAAANAAUAAAUAAAAAAAAAAGUGAGGGGGAGCUUUAUUUCAGCCCGUUAUCAUUUGAACCCAAUAAAUUAAAGUGGGUCUGAUCAACGACGGCCCACACACACACACCCUAUAAAGUAUCUAUUCGAAAUUCGAUUUCAAAUCACAACCCAUUCAAAAUUCGAAUUUCGAAUUUUAAACUCCCAACAAAUUCCCAACCAUUUUCCAAAAUACCAUCCAACAACCCAUUCGAAAUUCGAAUUUAAAUUUCGAAUUCCCAACCAAUUCCUAAAACAUCCUCCAAUAACCCAUUCGAAAUUCGAAUUUGAAUUUCGAAUUCCCAACUAAUUCCUAAAACAUCAUCCAACAACCCAUUCGAAAUUCGAAUUCGAAUUUCGAAUUCCCAACCAUUUUCCAAAAUAUCAUCCAACAACCCAUUCGAAAUUCGAAUUCGAAUUUCGAACCCCCAACCAUUUCUCAAAAUAUUAUCCAACAACCCAUUCGAAAUUCGAUUUUGAAUUUUGAAUUCCCAACUAAUUCCAAAAACAUCUUCCAACAACUCAUUCAAAAUUCGAUUUCGAAUUUCGAAUUCCCUAACCAAUUCUCAAAACAUCAUCCAACAAUCCAUUCGAAAUUCGAUUUUGAAUUCCCAACCAACUCCAAAAUAUCCUCUAAUAAUCCAUUCAAAAUUCGAAUUUCGAAUUUCAAACCUCCAACCAACUCCCAAAAUAUCUUCCAACUAUCCAACAACUGAUUCAAAAUUCAAUUCCCAACCACUCCCCAAAUAUCCUCCAAUCAUCCAACAAAUAAUUCAAAAUUUGAAUUUCGAAUUUUGAAUUCCUAACUAACUCCUCCUCUCCCAUUAUAAAUACGGGAACCGAAAUCAAAUUCUGGGAAAUUUUUUUUACGGAGACGAUAGACAAAGAACAAAAAAAAAUAGAUAGAUUGCUACACUCGAGCCGCGGAAAGGAGGAGAGAUCGCCGAGCCGCGGAAAGGAGGAAAGAUCGCCGAGCCGCAGAAAGGAGAAAAGAUCACUCGAGCCGCUGAAAGAAGGAGAGAUCGCCGAGCCGCGGAAAGAAGGAGAGAUCGUUGAGCCGCUUCAUUCAAUCCAUCAAUAGGUAGUAAAAAAAAGAAAGAAAGAAAGAAAGAAAGAAAGAAAAUAAAACAAUAAUAAAACACAAAAGAAAAUUCUCUUCUUCCCCCCUUCCUU
rnacentral:lncRNA from 1 species